UAUUCUUCCUAUGCGGGAAGGAUGAGAAGCUUCGACCAGGGUUCGAUUCGAGUGUUAGCGAGAAAGCGUUGCCGCAGGCAACGACCCGAAGGGCGAAGGGCGAAGCGCGCAGCGCUGAGUAAUCCUUCCCCCACCACCA
rnacentral:sRNA from 3 species